AUUGAACGCUGGCGGCAGGCUUAACACAUGCAAGUCGAGCGGAGACUUCGGUCUUAGCGGCGAACGGGUGAGUAAUACCUAGGAAUCUGCCUAUUAGUGGGGGAUAACGUUUCGAAAGGGACGCUAAUACCGCGUACGCCCUACGGGGGAAAGCAGGGGAUCUUCGGACCUUGCGCUAAUAGAUGAGCCUAGGCCGGAUUAGCUAGUUGGUAGGGUAAAGGCCUACCAAGGCUACGAUCUGUAGCUGGUCUGAGAGGAUGACCAGCCACACUGGAACUGAGACACGGUCCAGACUCCUACGGGAGGCAGCAGUGGGGAAUAUUGGACAAUGGGGGAAACCCUGAUCCAGCCAUGCCGCGUGUGUGAAGAAGGCCUUCGGGUUGUAAAGCACUUUAAGCGAGGAGGAAGGUUUACUAGAUAAUACCUAGUAGAAUUGACGUUACUCGCAGAAUAAGCACCGGCUAACUCUGUG
rnacentral:rRNA from 1 species